UUUGGAUCAAUGAUGCAAACAUAUUACUGCGUUAUCUUUCUGAAGUACCUAAGAAGGGCUUGAAGACAACUACAACAUUUCUGAGAUCCAAA